CUAUCGCCUGGCGGCAGGCUACACAUGCAGUCGAGCGGUAGAGAGGUGCUUGCACCUCUUGAGAGCGGCGGACGGGUGAGUAAUACCUAGGAAUCUGCCUGGUAGUGGGGGAUAACGUUCGGAAACGGACGCUAAUACCGCAUACGUCCUACGGGAGAAAGCAGGGGACCUUCGGGCCUUGCGCUAUCAGAUGAGCCUAGGUCGGAUUAGCUAGUUGGUGAGGUAAUGGCUCACCAAGGCUACGAUCCGUAACUGGUCUGAGAGGAUGAUCAGUCACACUGGAACUGAGACACGGUCCAGACUCCUACGGGAGGCAGCAGUGGGGAAUAUUGGACAAUGGGCGAAAGCCUGAUCCAGCCAUGCCGCGUGUGUGAAGAAGGUCUUCGGAUUGUAAAGCACUUUAAG
rnacentral:rRNA from 1 species